rnacentral:rRNA from 1 species
UACGUAGGGGGCAAGCGUUGUCCGGAAUCAUUGGGCGUAAAGCGCGCGUAGGCGGCCUGGCAAGUCGGCCGUGAAAUCUCCCGGCUCAACUGGGAGCGGUCGGGCGAGACUGCUGGGCUCGAGGUGGGCAGAGGGCAGUGGAAUUCCGGGUGUAGUGGUGGAAUGCGUAGAGAUCCGGAGGAACACCAGUGGCGAAGGCGGCUGCCUGGGCCUGGCCUGACGCUGAGGCGCGAAAGCGUGGGGAGCAAUCC